CAAAGCAGGAGGCUCUGCUCCUGUUUCAGAAACAUCCAUUACCCCUUCAUGGACCAAAGCAAGUGUGGUUCUUUAAAUGACCACUGCUGUGUCCAACAUGGAUUCCCUCACACCCAGACCUGAGCCUUUCUUUUCUCUUUCUUCCUUCUUGUGUGUGAGUACAUAUGCGUGUAGGUUUUAAUUUGCUUUCUUUAACUCUCUGUUCCCUCCUCUAAUUUAAAUGGGGACAACAGUACCUUUCUGAGUCCACACACCAAGGUUUCCAUCGGGACUGAACUGACUACCUGGUUUGCCUCUGGGUAGGAUUUCAGAGCAGAAGAGCGCUGGUGAGGUAGAGAGUUAACAGAAAUGCAUCUCAGAAGCACCCACACCAGAACAAGACCCCAGGCUCUGCAGCCUCUUGCUGGGGAUCUUGCACCCACAAGCCUACACCAGAGGGCAGAGUCUCUUCUGUGCCCCAUUGUACCACUUCCUUCCAGCCUCCCAUGUGGAGCUUGCACAUGGCAAUUCAGUGUCACCGAAGAGAUGAGACAAGCUGGUGGCAAGUUUCGGUUAGUUCAUGUCACACGCUUCCCUCUCUGGAAAUCUGGGGGCUGAGUGAGCUGGAACAUGGAACACAUUGGUUUCCAGGCAGCUGCUCACCAGCUACCUGGAAAUGUGGCCUCGCUCAGGUCUGGUUGUGAAUCCAAUUUGUCCUCUCCACGGGAUGAGUCCAUUGAUGAAUGUGACAAUGAAAGCUACACACAAAAGAGAGCAGGUGCCUGGUCUAGGGGAACAGGGGCAACUAUGAACAGCAAAUAAUUUCACCCCCUGCACAUAAACAAUGUCCUCGACUAA